CUGGUUGAUCCUGCCAGUGGAAUAUGCUUGUUUCAAAGAUUAAGUCAUGCAUGUCUGAGCAUGCGCUGAAGUAAAGUGAAGCCGCGAAUAGCUCAUUACAACAGCCGUUGUUUCUUGGAUCUCUUCUCUACUUGGAUAACUGUGGUAAUUCUAGAGCUAAUACAUGCAAACAAGCCCUGAACGUGAGUGACGGGCGCAUUUAUUAGAACAAGACCAUCUGGCUUUCAAGCCAUAAUUUGGUGACUCUGAAUAACUGAGCCGAUCGCACGGGCUCGUCCCGGCGACGUAUCUUUCAAGUGUCCGCCUUAUCAGGUUUCGUUGGCGGUUUAUGUGACCGCCAAGCCUGUAACGGGUAACGGAGGAUCAGGGUCUGACUCCGGAGAGGGAGCCUGAGAGACGGCUACCACUUCUAAGGAAGGCAGCAGGCGCGCAAAUUACCCAUUCUUGGCUCAAGGAGGUAGUGACGAAAAAUACCAAGGUGAGGCUCAUCGAGCUUGACCAUUGGAAUGAGAACAAUCUAAAUCCUUUAACGAGGAUCUAGUGGAGGGCAAGUCUGGU
rnacentral:rRNA from 1 species